rnacentral:rRNA from 1 species
GACGAACGCUGGCGGCGUGCUUAACACAUGCAAGUCGAACGAUGAACCGGUUUCGGCCGGGGAUUAGUGGCGAACGGGUGAGUAACACGUGGGCAAUCUGCCCUGCGCUCUGGGAUAAGCCCGGGAAACUGGGUCUAAUACCGGAUACGACACUCCGAGGCAUCUUGGGGUGUGGAAAGUUCCGGCGGUGCAGGAUGAGCCCGCGGCCUAUCAGCUUGUUGGUGGGGUAAUGGCCUACCAAGGCGACGACGGGUAGCCGGCCUGAGAGGGUGACCGGCCACACUGGGACUGAGACACGGCCCAGACUCCUACGGGAGGCAGCAGUGGGGAAUAUUGCACAAUGGGCGAAAGCCUGAUGCAGCGACGCCGCGUGAGGGAUGACGGCCUUCGGGUUGUAAACCUCUUUCAGCAGGGAAGAAGCGAAAGUGACGGUACCUGCAGAAGAAGCACCGGCUAACUACGUG